rnacentral:rRNA from 1 species
GCACCACAAGAACGCGUGGAGCAUGUGGCUUAAUUUGACUCAACGCGGGAAAUCUUACCGGGUCCGGACACACUGAGGAUUGACAGGCAAUAUCUCAUGGUUAUUAACCCGGUUAUUACAUUUUGUUUAAUCGGUUAUUAAGCAUCGAGUGUUAAAUAUGCUAGUCCUUUCAUGAUUAUGUGAUAGGUGGUGCAUGGCCGUUCUUAGUUCGUGGAGUGAUCUGUCUGCUUAAUUGCGUUUCACUAAGGGCCCAUAAAUUCAAGGUAUGUUAGCUAUCGUCGCUCUAUGGACCCCUUAUACUCGAUUUCGCUUUAAUUAGCGUUAUUUGUUUAAUAAGCGCGCGUCUUUAUUUAAUGAGUUUAAGACACUGCGCAUGCUGUUGGGCUCUGAAAGCAACGAGCGUGACCGCAACGUCUUGUUGCCUUAAUAAAGUUGGCUUUAAAUACAAUUCCUCGAAUUCGUAUUUAAACCGCUUACAGAGGCUAUUUAAAACUAGACGGACCGCUGUUUCUUUUCUUAAACCAGAGGAAGGUUGCGGCAAUAACAGGUCUGUGAUGC